ensembl:lncRNA
CAGCACCCCGUGCUCCGGUGGAGGCCUGUCUGUCUGCUGUGGUUUACAGGCCCCACGAGAGACACCGUCACGUCUGUCUGUGUCUGGGUUGUUUCACUCACCUGAGGCCCUAACGGCUGCACGUUCUCCUUCCCCGCCGAGUAGUGUCCCGUCGUGCGUGUGUGAACACCCUGCGUCUGCACUGGCCCACCCCUCACGGACACCUGGGCCUGCGGCCGCGGCUGCUGUGAACGAAGCUGAGGCGACCGUGGACAUGCGGACACUGGGCCGAGUCUGUGUUGCCGUUCAGGGUUUGCCCAAACCUAACAGCAUCCCUAAUGGGACAGUCUCAGUCAGCAAGAGACUCCGGCUGACUCCAAACCAGACCCUCAGACACCUGCUUUUCACCGAGGCAGUUGUGUACAGUCCUGGGGGCCUCGAACCUCAGACCCUGCGGCCACCACAGCCAGGACCUGCGCCCAGUGGCAGUCAAAACUAGGGCCAUAGAGGUGAAUCCAAGGCCACAGCUGUAAGCCGGGGCCACUGACGUUCCAGGGAUGGACAUGUCUGUGUCUGGGAGACCAUUACUCUGCCUCCCACAUGACCAGAAAGUUGAUUCCCUGAGUGUUACAGGACCUUGAAGCAGUUUGCCGAGCUUCUGAAUGUCAGAGCUCUGCUUCUAGCCCACCGUGUUCCUGAAGCAAGAGGACUCAUGCCUGGUGCUUGCUGAGCUCCGGCAUGCCCCACAACUGUCUGCUCUGUCAGGGGGAGAUGAGUGCACGUCCUUCUGCUCUGCCAUCUUGAACCAGAAGCCAGCAGAAUGCCUAUUCUUAGGGAAAGAAUUUCACUAAAGAGUUCAG